GCACGAGAUUAGCCAGUGCUUUCUCUAAUGGUACCGUCAUCCCCCACCUGUAUUAGAGGUGGAGAUUUCUUCCCACUUAACAGAAGUUUACAAUCCGAAGACCUUCAUCCUUCACGCGGCGUCGCUGCUUCAGGCUUUCGCCCAUUGAGCAAGAUUCCUCA
rnacentral:rRNA from 1 species